rfam:Schistosoma mansoni strain Puerto Rico chromosome 7, complete genome
AUCCAGACGAUGAGUCCUAAAUAGGACGAAACGCGUGUCAUUGAU